UAGUGGAAUGGCUUGUAGCAAACUGGAUAGGAACCCCUCAUUGUGAGUCUUUUCUCAGCCCUUCCACAGUGAGAAGACCUUCCUGCUUUCUGAGGUAGUUCAAGGAAGAAAGAUUCCUUGAACUCACAAGAAGUGCCAUGGAGGACUGUGAGUGCUGGGAGCAGCAGAAGUCAGGAGGUGCAUCGGUGACGUGGUUCUCUGGGUAAAUGAGGAGCCUGUCCCCUACAGAGCGACAAAUUUAGUGAGUAGCAAUAGGUUUCGAAGCAGUAACUCUGCUACUUGCAUUAGAACUGAUCUGCCUGUUAGACCAGGUAAGAGUGAAGAAAGCAAGACCUUCUAGAAAACAUAUUGGCCUGCGUAUAAUUUUAAACACAAUUU
rnacentral:lncRNA from 1 species